rnacentral:rRNA from 1 species
GACGAACGCUGGCGGCGUGCUUAACACAUGCAAGUCGUACGGUAAGGCCCUUUCGGGGGUACACGAGUGGCGAACGGGUGAGUAACACGUGAGUAACCUGCCCACAACUUUGGGAUAACGCUAGGAAACUGGUGCUAAUACUGGAUAUGUUCUCCUGCUGCAUGGUGGGGGUUGGAAAGCUCCGGCGGUUGUGGAUGGACACGCGGCCUAUCAGCUUGUUGGUGGGGUAGUGGCCUACCAAGGCGGCGACGGGUAGCCGGCCUGAGAGGGUGACCGGCCACAUUGGGACUGAGAUACGGCCCAGACUCCUACGGGAGGCAGCAGUGGGGAAUAUUGCACAAUGGGCGCAAGCCUGAUGCAGCAACGCCGCGGGCGGGAUGACGGCCUUCGGGUUGUAAACCGCUUUCAGCAGGGACGAAGCUUUUUGUGACGGUACCUGCAGAAGAAGCACCGGCUAACUACGUG